CAUGGAGACAUUGUUGGUGAACCAUCAGAAGAUCUUUCUCCCCCAGCUUCAACACCGCAGUUACCCUAUAAAUCAAGAAUUGGUCAUUGCUAUCAUUAUUUAUAUUGUAUUUAUUUAUUUGUUCUGUAUGCUCAUGUUUGCAGCAGCAACCCAGGGAGAGAUUGUUGUUGAACAAUUUGAAGAUCUUCCUCCCCCAGCUUCAACACCACAGUUACCCUUAACUCGAGCCCCCCGUCGUGCAAGAAGUGAACAGAGAAGACCCCGUUUGAAUAGCUUACGUUCAUCGUCCGAAUAAUCACCAAAGAUCGUGCUGCUAAGAGGAUUAUUGAAGAAACGUCGGCGGUUGUUGAACAAAUUCCGUUGUCAAGACACAGAGCACCGUUGUACUGUCUGCAAGCUGCACAACUUGUGAGAUCCUGCCAGAUUCUGCUGGACCAGCUGUUCCUGCCGUCGACACCUCAGUGACUGACAGUGAAGCCGCCCACCGAGGGACAAUUUGGCAGUGUAUGGCAGGUCUGACAGAGCAAACCCCUGUGACCUUCAGCGAUGUGCAGAAAUUUGAAAAGAUUUUCAACAGGAAAAUUGUCGUUUUCUAUAAAGACAGCAAGGACACGCUGCUUCGUAAGUUCCAG